CCCUACGGGGCAUAAGAUCCCUUGAAGAGUACAAGGUAGAUAGGCGGAAGGUGUAAGUGUGGUAACACACUCAGCUGAUCCGUACUAAUAGAUCGAAGGCUUGUCCUUAUCUUUU
rnacentral:rRNA from 1 species